UACGAAGGGGGCUAGCGUUGCUCGGAAUCACUGGGCUUAAAGGGUGCGUAGGCGGGCACGCGAGUCAGGGGUGAAAUCCCACGGCCCAACCGUGGAAGUGCCUCUGAUACCGCGAGCCUCGAGGGGGAUAGGGGCGUGCGGAACUUCCGGUGGAGCGGUGAAAUGCGUAGAGAUCGGAAAGAACACCAACGGCGAAAGCAACUCUGCUGGGCCGACACUGACACUGGAGAGACGAAAGCUAGGGGAGCGAAUGGG
rnacentral:rRNA from 1 species